AGUUAAAAAGCAACUAGAUAAGCCCAGUGUCUUGAAAACACUGUGAGAGAAGUUCAAAUCUUCUGUUAACUU
rnacentral:tRNA from 1 species